CCCCACUCCAAGAAUCAGCAUCCCACGGUCAGCCAUCGUCCGGAUAAAUCCAAACCUCCACGUCCUUCCCGAGCUUAUCCUCCCAAAAUCAAGUCCUCUGUUUCUCCUCAUCAUCUUCUCCAGACCACACCAGUGAAUAUCCGAAUCACCCGCGAGCGAGUUCAUCUUCCCAACGUCUCUCUCAAACUUCUCUUCAUCGCACGAACCCAACGUCCUCCGAGAUCCUCUCAAAACGCCCAUGACUGCUAUCAUUCCCUUUCCUCCCCUGUUUUAGAUUCAAAACAGAGCCAACCUCCCAGCCGAAUCAACCAACCUCCUUCGGAUUCCUUCCAUGUCCACGAACAAAGCCAUCUCUUCCGAGCUUCACAGGUCACCUCCCAAGCCAACCCCACAUAUCUUCUCCGCAUCAGGAUCAGCCCCAUCCAGCCGCUUCCAUCCUUAUCCGUGAAGAAACAGACGAGGAGCGAGGGGGAGUUGCAGCCUAUAAAAGGCCCAGGCGUGAACCGAGAAGGGCAUUCCUCCUUCCCCACCGGGGGGCAUUCCCUCUUUCCCCACUGGGGACUGAUCCCCAUCAAGAUCUUCUCAGAGGCGGAAUCCCACAAGCUCCCACGGGAAGAAGAAAAAAAUAAAAGGAGAGAGAAGAGUUUGGGUAUUUUGGGAAUAUUUCAAAGGAGCUCUUUUCUGAUCCGAAGAAGUCUGUGGCUUGAUCAUCAGGGAGUUCCAACAGAAGGGAGG
rnacentral:lncRNA from 1 species